GCGAGUGAAGCGGGAAGAGCUCAAAUUUGAAAUCUAAUGGCCUCAGGUCAUUCGAGUUGUAAUCUAUAGGAACGUUUUCCGUGCCGGCUCAUGUACAAGUCCCUUGGAACAGGGCGUCAUAGAGGGUGAGAAUCCCGUACUUGACAUGAACUACCGGUGCUCUGUGAUACGUCUCCAACGAGUCGAGUUGUUUGGGAAUGCAGCUCAAAAUGGGUGGUAAAUUCCAUCUAAAGCUAAAUAUUGGUGUGAGACCGAUAGCGAACAAGUACCGUGAGGGAAAGAUGAAAAGCACUUUGGAAAGAGAGUUAAAAAGUAUGUGAAAUUGUUGAAAGGGAAACGAUUGAAGUCAGUCAUGUCCUUCAGAUUCAGCUGGUUCUGCCGGUGUAUUUCUGUUGGAUGGGGUCAACAUCAGUUUUGGAUGCCGGAUAAAGGUGGGAGGAAGGUAGUACCCCCGGGUAAACUUAUAGCCUCUCAUUGCAUACGGUGACUGGGACUGAGGAACGCAGCUUGCCUUUAUGGCCGGGGUUCGCCCACGUACAAGCUUAGGAUGUUGACAUAAUGGCUUUAAACGACCC
rnacentral:rRNA from 1 species